AUACGAAGGUGACAAGCGUUAUUCGAAAUCACUGGGCUUAAAGGGUGCGUAGGCGGAAAUGUAAGUGUCUUGUGAAAUACCUUGGCUUAACCAAGGCAUUGCUCGGCAAACUGCAUUUCUUGAGGCAAGCAGGGGUGUGUGGAACUCUUGGUGGAGCGGUGGAAUGCGUAGAUAUCAAGAGGAACGCCGAAGGUGAAGACAGCUCACUGGGCUUGUCCUGACGCUGAUGCACGAAAGCGUGGGGAGCAAACAGGAUUAGAUACCCUGGUAGUCCACGCCCUAAACGAUGUCGACUAGGUUGUAGAAGUUCUGACACUGUUACAGCCGAAGCAAAAGUGUUAAGUCGACCGCCUGGGGAGUACGGUCGCAAGGCUAAA
rnacentral:rRNA from 1 species